rnacentral:rRNA from 1 species
UGAAGCCGGAAUUGCUAGUAAUGGCAGGUCAGCAUACUGCCGUGAAUACGUUCCCGGGCCCUUGUACACACCGCCCGUCACACCAUGAGAGUUGGGAAUACCCGAAGCCUGUGAGCUAACUAUAUGAGGCAGCAGUCGAAGGUAGAAUCAAUGAUUGGGGUGAAGUCGUAACAAGGUAAC